UACGUAGGGUGCAAGCGUUAAUCGGAAUACUGGGCGUAAAGCGUGCGCAGGCGGCUUUGCAAGACAGAUGUGAAAUCCCCCGGGCUUAACCUGGGAACUGCAUUUGUGACUGCAUGGCUGGAGUGCGGCAGAGGGGGAUGGAAUUCCGCGUGUAGCAGUGAAAUGCGUAGAUAUGCGGAGGAACACCGAUGGCGAAGGCAAUCCCCUGGGCCUGCACUGACGCUCAUGCACGAAGCGU
rnacentral:rRNA from 1 species